rnacentral:rRNA from 1 species
AUUGAACGCUGGCGGCGUGCCUAAUACAUGCAAGUCGAACGGAGUGGCGCACGGGUGAGUAAUAUAUAGCUAAUCUGCCCCUUGCUGGGGGUCAAAAGUUGGAAAGGACUGUUAUAACGCCAUAGCAUGGGAUGGGCCGAUAUCGUAUCAGCUAGUCGGUGGGGUAACGGCCUACCGAGGCGAUGACGCGUAACUGGUCUGAGAGGAUGAUCAGUCACAUUGGAACUGAGACAGCGUGGAGACACAUACGACAAGGAGCCGUAGGGAAUAUUGCGCAAUGGGGGUGUACCAGAAACAGCAUCGCCGUGUGAAGGAUUACCCUCUGCGGAGAAUAAACUCCUUUUAUUAGGGUAGCGGUACCUACAGAAUAAGCACCGGCUAACUCCGUGCCAGCAGCCGCGGUAAUAC